CCUACGGGUGGCAGCAGUGGGGAAUAUUGCACAAUGGGCGCAAGCCUGAUGCAGCCACGCCGCGUGUGUGAAGAAGGCCUUCGGGUUGUAAAGCACUUUCAGCGGGGAGGAAGGCGUUAAGGUUAAUAACCUUGUCGAUUGACGUUACCCGCAGAAGAAGCACCGGCUAACUCCGUGCCAGCAGCCGCGGUAAUACGGAGGGUGCAAGCGUUAAUCGGAAUUACUGGGCGUAAAGCGCACGCAGGCGGUCUGGCAAGUCGGAUGUGAAAUCCCCGGGCUCAACCUGGGAACUGCAUUCGAAACUGGCAGGCUAGAGGCUUGUAGAGGGGGGUAGAAUUCCAGGUGUAGCGGUGAAAUGCGUAGAGAUCUGGAGGAAUACCGGUGGCGAAGGCGGCCCCCUGGGCAAAGACUGACGCUCAGGUGCGAAAGCGUGGGGAGCAAACAGGAUUAGAUACCCGUGUAGUC
rnacentral:rRNA from 1 species